UAGGCAGUUGGUGAGGUAACGGCUCACCAAACCUUCGAUGGAUAGGGGUUCUGAGAGGAAGGUCCCCCACAUUGGAACUGAGACACGGUCCAAACUCCUACGGGAGGCAGCAGUGAGGAAUAUUGGUCAAUGGGCGCAGGCCUGAACCAGCCAAGUAGCGUGAAGGAUGACUGCCCUAUGGGUUGUAAACUUCUUUUAUAUGGGAAUAAAGUUUUCCACGUGUGGAAUUUUGUAUGUACCAUAUGAAUAAGGAUCGGCUAACUCCGUGCCAGCAGCCGCGGUAAUACGGAGGAUCCGAGCGUUAUCCGGAUUUAUUGGGUUUAAAGGGAGCGUAGGUGGACAGUUAAGUCAGUUGUGAAAGUUUGCGGCUCAACCGUAAAAUUGCAGUUGAUACUGGCUGUCUUGAGUACAGUAGAGGUGGGCGGAAUUCGUGGUGUAGCGGUGAAAUGCUUAGAUAUCACGAAGAACUCCGAUUGCGAAGGCAGCUCACUGGACUGCAACUGAC
rnacentral:rRNA from 1 species